UUCUACAUUAUUAACUGAGAAAACACUUGAAAAUCCCGCUAAUCAUCUUUGUGGCCUUGGAAAAUAGUCGUGUUGAGAGAGCAAAGCGUUUCUGAAUACGGAUUUUUAUCUCAUGUUCCUGUGGUCUUGUGGCGCUCUGGUGGCCCCUGGUGGAGGGCUUCGGGACCUGGGCGCCGCGUGCAGACCACAUCCAUCACCCAAACACCGUCAGGAAGAGAGACAGUGACGGAUUGAGAACAGCAACAGCCAUUGUUUGCAGAACACGACAGGACAUGUUUGGGACAGGAAGCGGCAGCCACAACCUGACCACUUGAAAGAGGCGUGUAGGAAGCCACACAGCGAGCCUAACCACACCACCACCACCACCAAGUUCGAGACCCGCCGCCGCCUGGAAAGCCCCUGCAGUAAAACACAGAGCAAGGCAACGGAGAAGGACACGAGCCAAGAAACUUAAUGAGAAGAGGCGGAUAAUGACGCGACGUUGGAGAGAAAUUUUUAGCAGACGAAGACGACGGAAAGACGAGGCAAAGACGAGCUGGAGACGACCUGGAGACAAUUUGGGUCGUUAGUCGUAAUGUUUCCAGCACAAAGAAGGUUGAUUAGUGGCCGGUCUCUUUAUAAAUUGACCAAUUAGCCAACCGGGAGCGAAUCAAGAUGGUAGAGAGAGAGAGAGAGAGAGAGAGAGAGAGAGAGAGAGAGAGAGAGAGAGAGAGAGAGAGAGAGAGAGAGAGAGAGAGAGAGAGAGAGAGAGAGAGAGAGAGAGAG